rnacentral:rRNA from 1 species
AACGAACGCUGGCGGUGCGUUUUAAGCAUGCAAGUCGAACGGCAGGAAGGUGCUUGCACUUUCCUAGAGUGGCGGACUGGUGAGUAACGCGUAGGUGAUCUACCUUUAAGACUGGGACAGCCUUUAGAAAUAAGGGGUAAUACCGGAUGUGCUUAUUAUGUUUUGACGUAGUAAGGGAAGGAGCGUUUGCUCCGCUUAGAGAUGAGCCUGCGUCCCAUUAGCUAGUUGGUAAGGUAACGGCCUACCAAGGCGAUGAUGGGUAUCCGACCUGAGAGGGUGAUCGGACACAUUGGGACUGAGAUACGGCCCAAACUCCUACGGGAGGCAGCAGCUGAGAAUCUUCCGCAAUGGACGAAAGUCUGACGGAGCGACACCGCGUGAAUGAUGAAGGCCGAAAGGUGUGUAAAGUUCUUUUGCAGACAAAGAAUAAGGAUAGAAGGAAAUGUCUAUUUGAUGACGGUAGUUAUGCGAAUAAGCCCCGGCUAAUUACGUGCCAGCAGCCGCGGUAAUACGUAAGGGGCGAGCGUUGUUCGGAAUUAUUGGGCGUAAAGGGCAUGUAGGCGGUUGGGUAAGCCUGAUGUGAAAUCUACGAGCUUAACUCGUAAACUGCAUUGGGUACUGCUCAUCUUGAAUCAUAGAGGGGGAACUGGAAUUCCAAGUGUAGGGGUGGAAUCUGUAGAUAUUUGGAAGAACACCGGUGGCGAAGGCGGGUUCCUAGCUAAUGAUUGACGCUGAUGUGCGAAGGUGCGGGGAGCAAACAGGAUUAGAUACCCUGGUAGUCCGCACAGUAAACGAUGUACACUAGGUGUUGGGGUAAAACUCAGUGCCGGCGCAAACGCAAUAAGUGUACCGCCUGGGGAGUAUGCCCGCAAGGGUGAAACUCAAAGGAAUUGACGGGGGCCCACACAAGCGGUGGAGCAUGUGGUUUAGUUCGAUGAUACGCGAGGAAACCUACCUAGGUCUGACAUCACGAGGGAUACUAUCGAGAUAUGGUAGCGUAUCAAUACGUCUCUGGACUGGUGCUGCAUGGCUGU